GACCUCCCGGUGCUUACCACGGGCUGUGUUCUUACGCCGCCUCCACAGGAAGCGGAGGCAGAGUAAACCACCCCAUACACACCUCAGCCCAGUCCCGUUGCCUGGUCUGGACUGUAAAUGGCAGGACAUGA